CUACGGGAGGCAGCAGUCAGGAAUAUUGGGCAAUGGGCGAAAGCCUGACCCAGCGAUGCCGCGUGUGUGAAGAAGGCCCUAGGGUUGUAAAGCACUUUCAGUCGUGAAGAAAAGCAUUGGGUUAAUACCCCGGCGUGUUGACGUUAACGACAGAAGAAGUACCGGCUAACUCCGUGCCAGCAGCCGCGGUAAU
rnacentral:rRNA from 1 species